rnacentral:rRNA from 1 species
ACGGAAGGCAGCAGUGAGGAAUAUUGGUCAAUGGGCGGAAGCCUGAACCAGCCAUGCCGCGUGCAGGAAUAAGGCCCUAUGGGUCGUAAACUGCUUUUGUAGUGGAGCAAUAAGGUCUACGUGUAGACUGAUGAGAGUACAUUACGAAUAAGCAUCGGCUAACUCCGCGCCAGCAGCCGCGGUAAUACGUAGGGAGCAAGCGUUAUCCGGAUUUACUGGGUGUAAAGGGCGUGUAGGCGGGACAUCAAGUCAGAUGUGAAAGCACGAGGCUCAACUUCGUGUCUGCAUUUGAAACUGACGUUCUUGAGUGUUGGAGAGGCUAACGGAACUCCUAGUGUAGCGGUGAAAUGCGUAGAUAUUAGGAAGAACACCAGUGGCGAAGGCGGUUAGCUGGACAAUAACUGACGCUGAGGCGCGAAAGCGUGGGUAGCAAACAGGAUUAGAUACCCUGGUA